UGGGGUGUCGCCAAGUGGUAAGGCAACGGACUUUGACUCCGUCACGCGUAGGUUCGAAUCCUGCCACCCCAGCCA
rnacentral:tRNA from 1 species